CUGUCGCGUUGUACCUCCGCGGGGCUGGUGGGGUCGGGGAGCGCACCACGCCCACGCCGCCGCUGCUCAAGCCCUGCGAAUCCCUGGUCCCACUCCGGGAGGCAGGGGGUCCUGCGGACGGCGCGCACCGACCUCCGACGCGUUCCAAUCCGCGCGCCUGCCGGUCCUGGCCUCGUUGGCGCGCGCCGGUUUCCGUAUCCGGCUUCAGCCGUUUCCGGUCUUACCGGGCCCGUCGGGAGGUAGGUGAUCGUGUUGGGGAGCGGGCUCGGUGAUCGGGCCCGCCGAAGUGUGCUCGCCGAGGUAGACUGCCCCCGGCCUCGGCUUCCCUCCCUGCUGCUAUGUGUUGUCAAAGGUCCUUUCUUGGGAGAAGGACUCGGGUGAGAAGCAUGUGGAGAUGCCUUCCACCUGCAAACGGGGGGAAGGAGUACCCGGAAUUUUAUCUAUUCGUGGGACCCGCGCUGGGGAUGCCUAGGUAAUCGAGAUGUCAUCUAUGCCGUACUCAUCGCUGGUUUCGAGCGUGCUCAGACGUUCCCUCCCAGAGCAGAUGUAGAGCUCACCUGUUCUCUUUCCAGACUCAGAGAUAGAGUCAAGCUGCUUGGCGCUCCAACCCCCACAGUUCACAAAUGAGAGAUCUAGAGAGAGAGUAUGACCUCCCUAAGACCAUAUGGCUGGUGAAUUGUGGGCUUGUCUCAGCGCUCCUUCCAUCAUUUCACAUUCAUUCCCCCUUUAUCUGGGAGAUUGCUCUGAUGUAUUUCCUGACUUACAUCCUAUGGAGAUGGGUUUUAUUGUUCUCCCAGGCCUUUGGGCUCUGUUAUCAGGUUCACUUUCUUUCCCAGGGUGUACUACAAACCUCCAGAUGUUGGUCUGAGAUUCAGCAGAGAGUGAGUCCUCUAUCCUUUCAUUGGUAAGCCACUCUUCUCAAUUGCUCUCCUACCACCCACCAUCCUCAUGUCUACCUUACUCCUUAAUCUGGAUUUUGGCGAACCUCCCCCCAAAAAGACAUUAGAAGGGAAUGCCAAGCACCGAAAAUUUGUCAAGAAGCGUCGGCUCUUGGAAAGGAGAGGCUUUCUGAAUAAGAAGAACCAGCCCCCUAGCAAUGUGCCUAAGUUACACUUAGAACCUCCAAAGAAAGGGGAAACUCCGCAGGUGGAUGGCACUUGGAAAAUGUCUCCCCUUCCAAAAAAUAAGACUGCUGCCUCCAGCAGUGGGUCAGAGCAGCCUCUGGACAAGAAAGCUUCUGUGCCUUGGCUGACCCCUGCCCCUUCACAGAAGGCUGUUUCUGUUAUGGCUAAGGCAGAUUUGCUGGGAGAGUUCCAGAGUUCCCUUCCAAAGAUUAAGAACCACCCAACUCGCCCCCAGAAGAAGGACCCCCAAAAGAACCCUUCUCAAAAUACCCCACAGAACUCCACAUUGGCUCAUUCAGAGAAUAAAUGCUCUGGAGCAUCCCAGAAGAUGCCGAGGAAAAUGGUCGCAAUUGACUGUGAGAUGGUGGGCACAGGACCCAAGGGGCAUGUGAGUUCUUUGGCUCGAUGUAGCAUCAUCAACUACAAUGGAGAUGUGCUCUAUGAUGAGUAUAUCCUUCCCCCCUGCCACAUUGUGGACUACCGCACCAGAUGGAGUGGUAUUCGCAAGCACCACAUGGUGAAUGCUACACCCUUCAAGAUUGCUCGAGGCCAGAUCUUGAAAAUACUCACAGGGAAGAUAGUGGUGGGACAUGCCAUCCACAAUGACUUCAAAGCCCUUCAGUAUUUUCACCCCAAGUCUCUUACCCGCGACACCUCGCAUAUCCCUCCUCUCAACCUGAAGGCUGACUGCCCAGAAAAUGCUACCAUGUCUCUGAAGCAUCUCACCAAGAAGCUGUUGAACCGGGAUAUCCAGGCUGGGAAAAGUGGACAUUCCUCUGUGGAAGACGCUCAGGCCACCAUGGAGCUGUACAAGUUGGUUGAACCCACGUGCUCUGGUGCCUUGUCUUCACCCCUACCACAAAUGAAGCCAUUCGAUCACACCCCAAGCCAUUCGAGGCCCUUUACAUGGAGUGCAUGUGACCAGGAGAGGACUUGAAGAGAACACAUGGAGGAGGGAUGGAGCAAAGAGAGGAGGGGGGCUUGAUGACGCCAGCCUGGUUGCUCCUGUUAGCUCUUGGUGGUGCACACCUGCAUUUUGGGAAGGAUCCUGGUUUUAUAAAUUCAUAAUAGAAGAGCCCCAUUGCAGAUUGCUGCCUGAAUCCGUCAGCAAGUCCUGUUUGGCAGAGUGGACCAUAUGCAUGAUAAAACACAAGCUCUUCUAAUAGUAUUCUUUUCAUGGCAUAAUGGUGUUUCCUAAUGCUGAGCCCUCCUA